rnacentral:rRNA from 1 species
UUAUGAAUAAGGAUCGGCUAACUCCGUGCCAGCAGCCGCGGUAAUACGGAGGAUCCGAGCGUUAUCCGGAUUUAUUGGGUUUAAAGGGAGCGUAGAUGGAUGUUUAAGUCAGUUGUGAAAGUUUGCGGCUCAACCGUAAAAUUGCAGUUGAUACUGGAUGUCUUGAGUGCAGUUGAGGCAGGCGGAAUUCGUGGUGUAGCGGUGAAAUGCUUAGAUAUCACGAAGAACUCCGAUUGCGAAGGCAGCCUGCUAAGCUGCAACUGACAUUGAGGCUCGAAAGUGUGGGUAUCAAACAGGAUUAGAUACCCUGGUAGUCCACACAGUAAACGAUGAAUACUCGCUGUUUGCGAUAUACGGCAAGCGGCCAAGCGAAAGCGUUAAGUAUUCCACCUGGGGAGUACGCCGGCAACGGUGAAACUCAAAGGAAUUGACGGGGGCCCGCACAAGCGGAGGAACAUGUGGUUUAAUUCGAUGAUACGCGAGGAACCUUACCCGGGCUUAAAUUGCAACUGACGGAUUUGGAAACAGAUCUUCCUUCAGGCAGUUGUGAAGGUGCUGCAUGGUUGUCGUCAGCUCGUGCCGUGAGGUGUCGGCUUAAGUGCCAUAACGAGCGCAACCCUUGUUGUCAGUUACUAACAGGUUAUGCUGAGGACUCUGACAAGACUGCCAUCGUAAGAUGUGAGGAAGGUGGGGAUGACGUCAAAUCAGCACGGCCCUUACGUCCGGGGCUACACACGUGUUACAAUGGGGGGUACAGAGGGCCGCUACCACGCGAGUGGAUGCCAAUCCCCAAAACCUCUCUCAGUUCGGACUGGAGUCUGCAACCCGACUCCACGAAGCUGGAUUCGCUAGUAAUCGCGCAUCAGCCACGGCGCGGUGAAUACGUUCCCGGGCCUUGUACACACCGCCCGUCAAGCCAUGGGAGCCGGGGGUACCUGAAGUGCGUAACCGCGAGGAGCGCCCUAGGGUAAAACUGGUGACUGGGGCUAAGUCGUAACAAGGUAGCCGUACCGGAAGGUGCGGCUG